ACCAGACUCCUACGGGAGGCAGCAGUGGGGAAUAUUGCGCAAUGGGGGAAACCCUGACGCAGCAACGCCGCGUGCAGGAAGAAGGUCUUCGGAUUGUAAACUGUUGUCGCAGGGGAAGAAGACAGUGACGGUACCCUGUGAGAAAGUCACGGCUAACUACGUGCCAGCAGCCGCGGUAAUACGUAGGGAGCAAGCGUUAUCCGGAUUUAUUGGGUGUAAAGGGUGCGUAGACGGGAAAUUAAGUUAGUUGUGAAAUCCCUCGGCUCAACUGAGGAACUGCAACUAAAACUGAUUUUCUUGAGUGCAGGAGAGGUAAGUGGAAUUCCUAGUGUAGCGGUGAAAUGCGUAGAUAUUAGGAGGAACACCAGUGGCGAAGGCGACUUACUGGACUGUAACUGACGUUGAGGCACGAAAGUGUGGGGAGCAAACAGGAUUAGAUACCCUCGUA
rnacentral:rRNA from 1 species